UACGUAGGGUGCGAGCGUUAAUCGGAAUUACUGGGCGUAAAGCGUGCGCAGGCGGUGAGCUGUGUCCGAUGUGAAAGCCCCGGGCUUAACCUGGGAAUGGCAUUGGAUACUGGCUCGCUAGAGUGCGGUAGAGGGUGGUGGAAUUCCCGGUGUAGCAGUGAAAUGCGUAGAGAUCGGGAGGAACAUCUGUGGCGAAGGCGGCCACCUGGACCAACACUGACACUGAGGCACGAAAGCGUGGGGAGCAAACAGG
rnacentral:rRNA from 1 species